rnacentral:rRNA from 1 species
GAUGAACGCUGGCGGCGUGCCUAAUACAUGCAAGUCGAGCGAAUGGAUUGAGAGCUUGCUCUUAUGAAGUUAGCGGCGGACGGGUGAGUAACACGUGGGUAACCUGCCCAUAAGACUGGGAUAACUCCGGGAAACCGGGGCUAAUACCGGAUAACAUUUUGAACCGCAUGGGUCGAAAUUGAAAGGGGGCUUCGGUUGUCACUUAGGGAUGGACCGCGGUCGCAUUAGCUAGUUGGGGAGGUAACGGCUCACCAAGGCAACGAUGCGUAGCCGACCUGAGAGGGUGAUCGGCCACACUGGGACUGAGACACGGCCCAGACUCCUACGGGAGGCAGCAGUAGGGAAUCUUCCGCAAUGGACGAAAGUCUGACGGAGCAACGCCGCGUGAGUGAUGAAGGCUUUCGGGUCGUAAAACUCUGUUGUUAGGGAAGAACAAGUGCUAGUUGAAUAAGCUGGCACCUUGACGGUACCUAACCAGAAAGCCACGGCUAACUACGUGCCAGCAGCCGCAGUAA